rnacentral:misc_RNA from 1 species
UUCAUCGCGAGGUGGAAUCUGAAGGAAGUCGGCGGCAAACCUCCGGCCGAGGACCACGAACCCCAGGUGAGGCUAACAGCAGCUGGAUGAGCUUGCAUAACAAAGCAAAGUCCUUGCAUCCCUUCGUCCAUUCCUCAAAGCCCACUGGCCUGAAAUUAGAGAACAGCUCCUAAA